ensembl:snoRNA small nucleolar RNA, H/ACA box 68
UUUGCACCUCAACCCAAGAAUUGCCGCUUCUUGUAGUGGCGGUUUAAACAGGGGUGCACACAGCAAGUGGAUCUCGUCGCCUUUGGGGGCUGUGACUGUGCCCCUCAAAGUGAACUCAGAGGUUCCACACCC